rnacentral:rRNA from 1 species
ACAUGAAGCUGGAAUCGCUAGUAAUCGUAGAUCAGCAUGCUACGGUGAAUACGUUCCCGUUUCUUUUACACACCGCCCUUCACACCACGAGAGUUUUUAACACCCGUAGCCGGUUGAUUAACCAUUUUGAGCUAGCCUUCUUUGGUUGUACAUAUUAUUUGGUUUAAGUCGUAUCAAGGUAGCCGUAUCUGUAGGUUCUGCUGUAUCACCUCCUUUCUAA